UCCGUAGGCGGUGCGGCAAGUCGGAAGUGAAAUCUCAGGGCUUAACCCUGAGGCUGCUUCCGAAACUGCCGUGCUCGAGUGCGAGAGAGGCGAGUGGAAUUGCAGGUGUAGCGGUGAAAUGCGUAGAUAUCUGCAGGAACAUCCGAGGCGAAAGCGGCUCGCUGGAUCGCGACUGACGCUGAGGGACGAAAGCUAGGGGAGCAAACAGGAUUAGAUACCCUGGUAGUCCUAGCCCUAAACGAUCAGGACUGGGCGUGGGCCUCGUACGGGGCUCGUGCCGCAGCUAACGCGUUAAGUCCUGCGCCUGGGGAGUACGGUCGCAAGGCUGAA
rnacentral:rRNA from 1 species